AGUGUGAUUCGUCACACUAUCAUUAACUGAAUCCAUAGGUUAAUGAGGCGAACCGGGGGAACUGAAACAUCUAAGUACCCCGAGGAAAAGAAAUCAACCGAGAUUCCCCCAGUAGCGGCGAGCGAACGGGGAGGAGCCCAGAGCCUGAAUCAGUGUGUGUGUUAGUGGAAGCGUCUGGAAAGGCGCGCGAUACAGGGUGACAGCCCCGUACACAAAAAUGCACAUGCUGUGAGCUCGAUGAGUAGGGCGGGACACGUGGUAUCCUGUCUGAAUAUGGGGGGACCAUCCUCCAAGGCUAAAUACUCCUGACUGACCGAUAGUGAACCAGUACCGUGAGGGAAAGGCGAAAAGAACCCCGGCGAGGGGAGUGAAAAAGAACCUGAAACCGUGUACGUACAAGCAGUGGGAGCCUCUUUAUGGGGUGACUGCGUACCUUUUGUAUAAUGGGUCAGCGACUUAUAUUCUGUAGCAAGGUUAACCGAAUAGGGGAGCCGAAGGGAAACCGAGUCUUAACUGGGCGUUAAGUUGCAGGGUAUAGACCCGAAACCCGGUGAUCUAGCCAUGGGCAGGUUGAAGGUUGGGUAACACUAACUGGAGGACCGAACCGACUAAUGUUGAAAAAUUAGCGGAUGACUUGUGGCUGGGGGUGAAAGGCCAAUCAAACCGGGAGAUAGCUGGUUCUCCCCGAAAGCUAUUUAGGUAGCGCCUCGUGAAUUCAUCUCCGGGGGUAGAGCACUGUUUCGGCAAGGGGGUCAUCCCGACUUACCAACCCGAUGCAAACUGCGAAUACCGGAGAAUGUUAUCACGGGAGACACACGGCGGGUGCUAACGUCCGUCGUGAAGAGGGAAACAACCCAGACCGCCAGCUAAGGUCCCAAAGUCAUGGUUAAGUGGGAAACGAUGUGGGAAGGCCCAGACAGCCAGGAUGUUGGCUUAGAAGCAGCCAUCAUUUAAAGAAAGCGUAAUAGCUCACUGGUCGAGUCGGCCUGCGCGGAAGAUGUAACGGGGCUAAACCAUG
rnacentral:rRNA from 1 species